rnacentral:lncRNA from 1 species
UCUUUUUCUCAGGGUUGUUCUGGUCACUUGAAUUUCCAUAUACAUUUUAUGAUUAUUUUGAAUGGAGAACUGUACUAAAGCUACGCCUUUGGACCCUGGGCCUGUCUAUUUCUUUGAUCAGUUGAAACCUAAAAGGAAAACAUGGAAUAAGAGAACCUGCAAAGCGCAGUUCUCUCACCUGCAAGACACCUCAGGAUCUAAUCAUCGUCUUGAAAAGAAAAAAAAAUCAAAAAAACUAAAGAAAUCACAACUAUUUGCAGUAGCUGCAUCUGAAAAAGAGGAUGAGUUCCAUUCACCCAGCAUCUCACAGUCUUUUAGUGUGCCCAAGCUCUCUCCAAAUCUUAAUUUCUCCAAAGUACACCUGCAAAAGAACCUAUUGGAAGAAUACAAACUCAUUGCUCCUGAAAUACUGUGUGAACUCGGGGAGACAUUGCAGAAAUAUGCUGAGUGUAACAUUACUUUCCCUGUGGGAGUUGAAAAUCUCAUGAAUUACACUUGGAAAGAUCUUACUGAAGAUGCUCAUAGAUAUGUAUCCAAAGCUUCAACAUGCGGGCAAGACAAAGCCUUGCAAGGAAAUUCCAAUUUCAUGACCAUAGUUGACUUAAUUGGAUGCAAAAGCAGAAGCUGUUCAAGAAUAGAAUGUCAUAAAGAAAAUCAUCUGGUUAAAGCAGAAAAAGACCAC